rnacentral:tRNA from 1 species
GGAGAGGUGUCCGAGCGGCUGAAGGAGCAUGCCUGGAGAGCAUGUGUAGUCGUAAGGCUACCCUGGGUUCGAAUCCCAGCCUCUCCGCCA